GGGCGCUUAGCUCAGUUGGUUCAGAGUGCCUGCCUUACAAGCAGGAGGUCACAGGUUCGAAUCCUGUAGCGCCCACCA
rnacentral:tRNA from 1 species